AAAUCUUAAAAGUUGGUACUUUUUGAAAUGCAGAAUAUUUAGCUUCAUUUUGGGCAUGGGUACAUAUGUGUAUCACAUAGAGAUCAUUCUUAGUCAAACGAAAGUUUGACUAAGUCAUGCAGCAAUUAGGGUUGGUAAAUCUCGUGCCAGCCACCACGGUCAUAUGAUUGACCCUAGUUAAUAAACCCCAGCGUAAAAAGUGUUUUGGAAAUAUAAAAAAUAAAACUAAUCUUUGUCUAAGUUGUAGAAAACUCUAGACAUUGUAGAAAUCAUAAACGAAAGUAGUUUUAAUAAGUCCGACACACGAAAGCUAAGGCCCAAACUGGGAUUAGAUACCCCACUAUGCUUAGCCAUAAACAUAAAAACUUAUAUAACAAAAGAUUUCACCAGAGAACUACUAGCAAUAGCUUAAAACUCAAAGGACUUGGCGGUGCUUUAUACCCGCCUAGAGGAGCCUGUUCUAUAAUCGAUAAACCCCGAUACACCUCACCUCUCCUUGCUUAUUCAGCCUACAUACCGCCAUCUUCAGCCAACCCCAUUAUGGAAACAAAGUGAGCGCAAGUACACUACAUAAAAACGUUAGGUCAAGGUGUAGCCAAUGGAGUGGGAAGAAAUGGGCUACAUUUUCUUACCCAAGAACAUUAAACGCAAAUCUUUAUGAAAUUCAAAGAUCUAAGGAGGAUUUAGUAGUAAAUCAAGAAUAGAGAGCUUGAUUGAACUAGGCCAUGAAGCACGUACACACCGCCCGUCACCCUCCUCAAGUAUCCAAGGGUUUUGUACAAACUAAUAAAUAUUAGAGGAGACAAGUCGUAACAAGGUAAGCGUACUGGAAAGUGUGCUUGGAAACAAAGUGUA
rnacentral:ncRNA from 1 species